AUUUUGCGUUAGGGAUGGAAGUGAUAUCCUUUUUUGUUUUCAAUUAAUCUUGAACUUAUAAAAAAGAUAAAACGGACAGCCCGACCGAGA
rnacentral:sRNA from 2 species